rnacentral:lncRNA from 1 species
CCAAAGUUGGAAAACCACAUUAUCUAAAAAGUAACACAUCAGAGGAUUGCCUAAUACUUACUAGUUCAAAAGGCCCUCAUCCUUAAGUUACAGCAGUUCCAGUUAAGAUAAAAGUAAAGUGUUGGGAGAAUUUACCAGAACUUUAAUAUUUUUUAAAUCGUGUAGAUAAUCAUAGUGUGGUUCUGUCAAAAUAUUGCUCCCCCUGCCCAGAUGAUUUCAUUAACAAUUCUUGUUUAGUAGAAAUUUAUUUUAAAAUGUGGUUGGGUUUAGUCAAAAUAAUUGAUCGUGUUUAAAAAAAUAAAUUUAAGAUACUUUCAAAUGCUCUCCAUCUGCCACGUCUUCUGAGGGGGAGAGGUACACCCAGGUUUGUCCAGUCAUUUAUUUACUUAAUUUUUGGUGUGUAUGUGCAGAGAAAAGCAAAGAUUUUACCAAGAGUAUUCUAAAUCUGUAAUAUUAUGGGCAGGCCAGUUUCAGGAAUGGAGUGGUUG